CAUUUCCAAUAGACUACAGAUUUCUUUUAGAAAGGUGGAAGUGCCAACAAAAAUGGUUUAUGUUAAGUUAAAUCCUCAGGGUUUCCCUAUGCUUAAAAAAAAUGGAUUUACCCGUGAAACAAUAUACCUUCAGUAAAAGAAUUAGCCAAAUCAUCAUUUUGAAAAAUUAAAAAUAUGCAUUUACCUUGUUGAAGAACAUUUCUAUUUUGCCUCACAUCUGGUUCCUCCUCUUAUCACAUUCUCCAGACACAAAAAACAUGUUAAAGAAGCCUAUUUACCUUGCUGACAGAGAUAACAACAGAAUAGGACAUAUCAGUUGGGAACCUCAACCUGAAAAAUAUAAAUCAACAUUGUUGGCCUUAAUUACCAUUUAACAAUUUCAUUCCCUCCUAACCUUUCUAUAAAAAAAAACUUUAGUUUGUUAUUGCGAAUGACAUCUUGGCAAUUGCCUUGCCUCUCCCUUCUUCUGGUCACCUAAUGUCAGGAAAUUGUACCUAUUUGCAACAAUGAAAAAUCUGUUAGGGUCUGGGAAAACACUGGUGAUUUUGGAAUUGCUUUGAAAUUUAGAAAGAGCACUCUUGUCUUACACUCUCUUCAACACAUUCUGGAUUACUGCCUUGUCUUCAUUCAGC